rnacentral:tRNA from 1 species
GGGCCUGUGGCUCAGUUAGGUAGAGCAUCGGACUCUUAGGUCAAUAAGCAAAUUCUUUUUGAUGGAAAAAUCCGCGGGUCGGGAGUUCAAAUCUCCCCAGGCUCA